CGCCGACGGUGAUAAUGCUUAGAAUCUGCCUGUUAGUGGGGGACAACAUCCCGAAAGGAAUGCUAAUACCGCAUACGUCCUACGGGAGAAAGCAGGGGAUCUUCGGACCUUGCGCUAUUAGAUGAGCCUAAGUCGGAUUAGCUAGUUGGUGGGGUAAAGGCCUACCAAGGCGACGAUCUGUACCUGGUCUGAGAGGAUGAUCCGCCACACUGGAACUGAGACACGGCCCAGACUCCUACGGGAGGCAGCAGUGGGGAAUAUUGGACAAUGGGGGAAACCCUGAUCCAGCCAUGCCGCGUGUGUGAAGAAGGCCUUAUGGUUGUAAAGCACUUUAAGCGAGGAGGAAGCUACUUUAGUUAAUACCUAGAGAUAUUGAACGUUACUCCCAAAAAAACCACCGGUUAAUUCUUGGCCACCACCCCCGGAAUAACAAAGGGUGCAAGCGUUAUUCGAAUUUACGGGGCUAAAAGCGUGCGAAGGCGGUCUAUUAAUUCGAAGGUGAAAUCCCCGAGCUUACCUGGGGAAUUGCUUUCAAUACGGCUGACCUAGAGUAUGGAAAG
rnacentral:rRNA from 1 species